GAAAUUGUGGUGCGACAAUACCGCUGCUCUUCACAUUGCAGCGAAUCCAGUCUUCCAUGAACGAACAAAGCACAUCGAGGUUGAUUGUCACUUU